rnacentral:rRNA from 1 species
AUUGAACGCUGGCGGCAUGCCUUACACAUGCAAGUCGAACGGUAACGCGGGGGCAACCCUGGCGACGAGUGGCGAACGGGUGAGUAAUACAUCGGAACAUAUCCAGUAGCGGGGGAUAACCUAUCGAAAGAUUGGCUAAUACCGCAUACGAUCUACGGAUGAAAGCAGGGGACCGCAAGGCCUUGCACUAUUGGAGUGGCCGAUGUCAGAUUAGCUAGUUGGUGGGUAAAAGCCUACCAAGGCGACGAUCUGUAGCUGGUCUGAGAGGACGAUCAGCCACACUGGAACUGAGACACGGUCCAGACUCCUACGGGAGCAGCAGUGGGAAUUUUGGACAAUGGGCGCGUAAGCCUGAUCCAGCCAUGCCGCGUGAGUGAAGAAGGCUCGGUUGGUAAGUACGUCUUUCCGGUUGG